CCAUGUGGUGAUUCAGUAAGGUAAGUUUAUUGCUCUUAAAUAUUUGAUAAUUUCACCUUUUCAAAGUGUGGUAUCUUGAGUUACAAAAACGACUAUCAUUCAGUGAAAUGCCAAAAAAAAACUUUUAUUGUUAGAUUUUUUGAAAAAUAAGUAGAUGUUGUGAAUAAUGAUGAUAAACCUUUCUGGUCAAGUUCACUGUUUGAUAUAGGUAUCUAGUUGUUAACUACUAAUAUUAGCUAAAGUAAAAGUUUUGUCAUUCAGGGUAAUGUUUUGUCAUUCGGUGUAAUGCAAAUUGUAUGUUACACCACAGUGUCAUCCAUUACACUGAAUGACAGUGUCACUGUUUAGAUAACAUUUUUAGCAUUUUAUUUCUAUUUCAGAUAAAUGAGGGAUGUUUAGCCCAAAAGAAAUAUAUCAAACUUUAUCAAUAUUAAUGUUUUAAUGCAUUUUUGUCGUUUUGGUACUGAUUUCUUUUAGAUGCCCACAAACAAAGAGAAAGUUUCUAGGCACUGGCAGAAAGUUAAUGCAGACCCAGUAGCUAGGGCAAUGCAUUUAGCAAGGAGACGAGAAAGCAACCAGAGAAGAAAGCAAGCUGCCUUGGCUGCAAAUCCUGAUCACCCGUCAAUCAGGAAUUUAUCAGAUGCUGCAGCUGAGAAGAGGCGAAAGCAAUGGCGGGAAAAUCAAAGAAAACACAGGGCAGAAGCUAAACGUAUAAGGGCAGUUCUGGAUCUUAUUAUACAGUAUUACCACCUGUUCAGUUAAUUUUUACGAAUAUGAUAUGCAUUGUGGAAUAAAAUGAUUAUUAAUUUCAGCAUCUACUUCUGUGAUUUGUUUAGGAAUAAAAUGAUACAGAAUAAUAUUCAAAACA